GCCUCGAUAGUCGAAAGGAUAAAAUACCUGCCUAGUAAGCAGGAGAUUCAGGUUCGAUUCCUGAUUGAGGUG